rnacentral:lncRNA from 1 species
UGAAUUCUCUCCCCCAGUGCCACAGACCUGAGGGCACGUGACCCAGGAAUGUGCAUCCAAAGAUAAUACUACCUUCAGAGAACUCUACUUAUAGUGGUGAAAUUGAAUCACUGAAGCAGCUGAGGCAGAGAGCUUUUCCUUCAGGAUUCACGGCCUAUUUCUCAGUUCUGGGAAGACAACUCUAACAACUCAACAGAGUGAAGAGAGAUAAAGAUGUUGGGAAUGACUGAUUUCAAACAAUCAAAACUGCUUUGGGGAUGAGGAUGAAGUUGGGACAUUACUGCCUUGUAUACCACAUACUAUAAUAUUUAUUAUGUCUAUUGUUUAUUGUGUGUGUCCUUCUUUAGAAUUUUAACUCCCCAAGGGCAAAGAUCCCUGACUGUUUUGCUUAUCAAUGUAUCCAAAAGGCCUAAAACAGAGCCUUGUACCCUAUACACACUCUGCAAAUAUUUGCUGAAUUGAAUAAAAGGCUGCCGAUCUAUAAA